UACGUAGGGUGCGAGCGUUGCCCGGAUUUAUUGGGCGUAAAGGGCGCGUAGGCGGCUCGAAACGUCUGUUGUGAAAUCGCCCGGCUCAACUGGGCGGGGUCAGCGGAUACGAUCGAGCUUGAGCAAGCUAGGGGGCAAUGGAAUUCCCGGUGUAGUGGUGGAAUGCGCAGAUAUCAGGAGGAACACCGGUGGCGAAGGCGGAUCUCUGGGCCUGUCCUGACGCUGAGGCGCGAAAGCUAGGGGAGCGAACAGG
rnacentral:rRNA from 1 species